AUUGAACGCUGGCGGCAGGCUUUACACAUGCAAGUCGAACGGCAGCGCGGGCUUCGGCCUGGCGGCGAGUGGCGAACGGGUGAGUAAUGCAUCGGAACGUGCCCAGUAGUGGGGGAUAGCCCGGCGAAAGCCGGAUUAAUACCGCAUACGACCUGAGGGUGAAAGCGGGGGACCGAAAGGCCUCGCGCUAUUGGAGCGGCCGAUGUCGGAUUAGCUAGUUGGUGGGGUAAAGGCUUACCAAGGCGACGAUCCGUAGCUGGUCUGAGAGGACGACCAGCCACACUGGGACUGAGACACGGCCCAGACUCCUACGGGAGGCAGCAGUGGGGAAUUUUGGACAAUGGGGGCAACCCUGAUCCAGCCAUGCCGCGUGCGGGAAGAAGGCCUUCGGGUUGUAAACCGCUUUUGUUCGGGAAGAAAUCCUCUGGGCUAAUACCCCGGGGGGAUGACGGUACCGGAAGAAUAAGCACCGGCUAACUACGUG
rnacentral:rRNA from 1 species